rnacentral:ncRNA from 1 species
UUCUGAAAAAGGCAAAUUUGUCGAAAGGCAAAGACGCAAAGCUAUGGACCUAAGGGGUAAUAACCCUAUGGCUGCCAGGUUACCAGG